GCACCACCCUUCUUUUUGUGCCUGGGUGGGCGUGGUGGGGCAGCCAGCUCAGGAAGGCCAGCCACGGCAGCAGCAGCAAGACUAUUUGUAAAUAUUUACACCAUAUCUAUUGCAGGGAAAUGUUUAGGGUUUUUUUUGUAUGUGUUUUUUUCCCCUGGCUGAUUUACAGCAUCCCGCCCCCAUACAACAUUGUCGAGUCAUAGCUUCACAUGAUCCUGUCCUCCCUCCCCUCCUCCUCCUCCUCUGGAACUACACUGGCCCAAGUCCUUGUGGCUUUUAUGGAAGAAGGGACCUGAGGUUGUAACGUUUGGCUUAGCUACUCUUUAAUUCACCUCCUGAGCAUAUAUACUCCAAAAACAGUCGUGUUGUUGCCGGGCGACACAAAGUGCUUUGUUUUGCGUUCCAGUCCCCUGAAUAACAGCAGUGUGCGUGUGUGUGGAACACUUACAGGUGGUAAUCACGUCAGGUGUAAAGACACUCUUGACAGCUGGAGGACGUCGACUAGCUGUUUUAUAAGCGUGUUUGUGUGUGUGGAGGAUGUGUGGCUGGCACAGUUCGAUGCUCCGUUGCGUGUCUAGCUGCGCGGCAGUUGGGUGACGCAGAGCGAGCUAUUAAUAACUCACGAACUGGAUGUUCUCGCCUCAGCACUGUGGGGUCAUUCGAGGAUAAAAUCCGAGUUAACGCCCCCCACCCCCGACUACGACGCGACGUAUGCCGACGUUUUUUUUUUUGUCUUUUAAAGGAAGACGACACUGCUUCCAAUGUUUACUUUGUCCCGCAACUACUUCCGCCUUCAGCGGCUGGUUUGCGCGAGGGCUGCGGGAAGGCACGCCCACACGUGAACCCGUUGACUUUGGGAGCACCCUGCGACCCAAAGGCUGCGUAAACACACAUGAUGCUCCAUUUAGUGAACAUGGAGCCUUUUCUAAUGGCAUGGAUUUCGGACUGCGUUUGUAAUUAGGCUAUAACUGCUUUGCAAGCAGUCUCAUCAGCUAGGAAAUCAGCUGCAAGAAUAUGUGCAGGGGCGCACAUAAGAAUUUUGGUUUGGUUCUCAAAGGAGAACACGAGGUCGUUCCUUGCACUGAAGUGACGAUUCUCCGUUGACCAAUAAAUGGUGAAAUAGCAGCCUGCUUUGUCAUUAUUAGUCACAGGACCUGUUGUUGGUGUGUCACUCAGGAUGAGUAAGCUUUGCUGAAAAACAACAAAAGAGAGACAAUGGGACAAAUAAGUACCAAGUUUAUACUUUCAUUCAGUCAGUAACUUUGUUAGUGCUUGUUUUUUUUGGGUGUUUCAGGUUUCCACUUAUAUGCAAAAUCAGUUUGAAUGAAAUCAACUGCAAAAGACCACAUGGUGUUUCUACAAAGACUUGCCUGCAGAUAAUGGCACUGAGUUAGAACCACCUGUUUACCUGCAUAUUAAUUAUGCUAUUUGUGUGAGUAAUACGUGUAAAUUCAGAUUAAAUGUAAAGCAGAGCGUCAGUAAAUGAUUAAGUGAUCUGCAAAAAGAGUUAGUUUAUGAAUAGUUUUCUAUUCAUAAAAUCUUUUUUAAAAUAAGGUAACUGUGCACUGGCGGCACGGUGGCCAACUGGUUAGAGCGUCAGCCUCACAGUUCUGAGGACCCGGGUUCAAUCCUCGGCCCCGCCUGUGUGGAGUUUGCAUGUUCUCCCCGUGCUUGCGUGGGUUUUCUCCUGGUACUCCGGUUUCCUCCCACAUCCCAAAAGCAUGCAUUAAUUGGAGACUCUAAAAUUGUCCGUAGGUGUGAUUGUGAGUGCGAAUGGUUGUUUGUUUGUAUGUGCCCUGCGAUUGGCUGGCAACCAGUUCAGGGUGUACCCCGUCUCCUGCCCGAUGACAGCUGGGAUAGGCUCCAGCACGCCCGCGACCCUAGUGAGGAGAAGCGGCUCGGAAAAUGGAUGGAUGGUAACUGUGCACUGUUUGCAGUGUGUAGUUGGGUGUUUUAUGGAAAGGGUUGGAAGAAGCCUAGCUAAAACUGUAGGAAACUAGCAGUUCAUUGUUUAAAGGUGCCAUAUUUUGCCAAACCAACUUUUUUCUCGUAUUUGAGACAUAAUGUUGUCUCUAUAGUGCCUCAGUAAACACGUGAAAUAUGAAUUAAAAUCUUCCACGCAUUCCUGAGUUCCAGACGUUUUUUCUGCCGACAGGCCUGAAAUCAGGUCAUUCGAAUUUCUUAUCUAUGUCAUUAGCGAAGAUCUCCGCCUUCCCUUUCUGCUCUCGAGCCAGCGCUGUCAACAAAAACAUGCUCUCACAAGUGGGUCUUCUAUAUGGAGGCAACCAAUCAGAGAACAAAUAUGGACAAAGUGGAAACAAAACUGGGUCAAACAGAAGUAGUUGUCAGAGGGGCCUUUUCUGGACACUCCUACGAUAAAACCAAGGUGUUUUUUUAAAUGAAAUUGACACUUUUAUACACGUUAGAGAGUCAAAAUACGGUUCUAAAUAGCCAAAAUACGCGUCCUUUAAAUCAAGACUCGAGAUAUGUUUGUAAAGUCAUUUGAAGUCCGCUCUCUUUAUGUUCGUAUGUGUGUGUAAUGGCUGUUGAUGUCCAUGGGUGAGGGGCAUGUUAUUUGACCACAUUUGACGGAGGGACUUUGUUUUGUCCUGAAUUCAUCAUGUACUGUGGCACAAAAUAAAGUACAACCCCAGCAAGCAAUGCUGGUGCAUGUCGUCAAUCCUUGAAUACCCAACACCACCGGUUAUACACAUCAGAUCUGCAACUACAGGAAACGUUUGGUUGACGUUAUUGCUGCCAAAGGAGGAUCAACCAGUUAAUAAAUCCAAGGGUUCACUUAAUCCCCGCUAAAACCGUGCUGUGAAUGUUAGUUAUUUUUAAUAUAAAUGUGAAAUUAUACAGCGGCUGAAAUAAGUAUUUAACCCGGCACCAUUUUUCUCAUUAAAUAUAUUUCCCAAGGUGCUAUUGACAUGAAGAUUUCACCAGAUGUUGGGAA